CACACUCAUCGCAAGAGCGUGAAGAGAGGGCUCUGCGAUUUUACAAUUUUUCCCUAAGGUAUUCAGUUGUUUCCACCUGUUUGCGUUGGUUCUUAAGAACUUAAAUAUGGAACUUUGAAAUAAAGCUUCAAUAUAAUAAACAAGAAAGGAAGCUAACCUCGGCUGCAAAAUCAAGGAUUUAUGACAGGGACUUGGGACUACUUGGAGUGAUCUUUAAGAUGCAUUGAAUCAAUAACCCAAAGAGGGUAAAGUGUAAAUGAUGCGGAUAUAGUGGUUGCAGUGAUUAUCUAACUUCAAGAAGACGAAAGAUUGCAGUGCACCAAGGUUUUUUCGCAGUGAGUACAUGAAUUAGACAGAAAAUAAUUAAGUUAUUUAUUUAAACAUUAAAAAUACGACUUAAGUUAGGCUACCUAUUUUAAAUAAAGAAAUCAAGCAUAAGUUAAAGAUUACAAAGUUACGAUAACAACAACGUUAUCAUUUUUUGCAUUUAUUUAUAUAUAUUUUUAUGUAUAUCUCGAUCUUUCCGAUGGCAGCUAUAUGAUACUUAUCCAAUUUUGAUAUACCUAUCCAAUUUUGAUAAGAUUUAAUUCUAAAUUCGAUAGUAGUCUAUAGAUAGGUGUCUCCUUCAAUGCUUUGCAACCUUCCAACUGAAAUUAUAAUACCCACUGCAAGGGUAUAAUAAUGUACGUUACCAAAAGAUCGGACCUCACACAUAUUUUUUGAAGGGUGAAAUUAGGUGUUAAGAAGGGUACUUGAAAUAUAUCAAGUGUGUAUAAAAACAUUAUGUGAAAGAUAUAGUGGGUCGAAAUCAGAGCGGCAUUCGACGGGUAUCUUUCUUUUGACAGACGUUGAAGAACUCGUUCGAUGUUAGCGAAUUUUUCGGCAGAUGGCGCUUCAAGAGCUUUUCUACACCCCAAUUCACACAGAUCUACAAAAAAUGGGUUUAUAUGAUCGGUUUACCCUAUAUUUCCUUAGCAGAAGCUCCACGAUAGUAUGUUGUAUAUAAUUUCUUUAUUUCCUCCAAGAAUGUACUAUUUAUAAAUACAAACGUGAUUAUAAAAUA